UCUGUCCUGGCUUUUCAAACAAGAUAAAUCUCUGAGACUUUGUGUCUGGUUGUGAGGGUGUCCAGACUAAUAGAGAUGAAGGAUCAUGUGACUCCUCAGUGGGCUCAGCUGCCUUGAAAGGGUGAGGCCUUGCCAGACAAACAUUUUGGGACAAAUGGGUCUUAUGGAUUUGUGGAAGUGAUAUGGCCGCUUUACCAAUUUACUCUCCUCUGCUGAUUUAAAAGUUUGACCUCCUCAAGCCUCUGUUCUCUCCUCCUGUUAUUCUACAUCUCUCUUACUCACCCACACCCAUUCGAUUCCUGCGUACUGUCUAGAAGCCUAGCGGUUCAGCAUGUGGACUCUGGAGCCAGACUCUCCGGGUUUGAAUCCUGGCUCUGUACUCCUACCCGGGUGAUUUUAAGAAUUCUGGGCCUCAGCUUUCUUGUAGCCUCCCUUCACUGCCUGAGACUCUUUUCAGGAAGGACAUGAGCCAAUGCAGUCCAUGAGAGCUGGCUACGGAAGGGGACAUCCUUGCUCCUUCUUACCCCUGCUUAUCCUCAGCUGUAAUCUGGUGACUAAAUGGCUUCUCCUUCCAUCAGCAAGGGGACAGUGAAACCAGGCACUGUGUUGGUCACUCUGGAUAAAACCCUUAACUGAUGACUCCAUUGGUAAGGACAAAGCAGAGUGAAAUACCUAAAUCUCUUUUGGAACCUGAAGAAAGGUGAGAAGUGAAUGGGUGUUAGUAAGACGAUAAGAGAAGAAAAAUUCUCAAAGAUGGAAGGAGGAGAAAGUAAAAAGAACCAAUUGUAGGGCAGUAUUUUAAACAAGUGUUUUUUUCAUUUAUCAAUUAGAGAAUCUGACUUUUUUUAUUUCUUAAGCCAGUUGUUCUUAGAAAAUUGCCAUCUUCCACAUUUCUUAUUCAGAUACCUCCACAAAAGGAGAAAUUUGGCAGCUUUAUAUUCUGGGGUUUUGUGAGAAAAAUUCAUUUUGUCACCCAGAGUCAGCUGCUGAGAAAAAAAAAUAGCAGCAGGACCUUUUCCUCUCGUUGUUAUUCAAAUACAACCCAGUUCUCCAGGCUGACUGAGGAAUAAGUUGGAAGCAAGCAGUGAGCAGAGACUAAUGCCUUAAUUGGCUAUUAAUAUACGGUCACUGCUAUUCUUAGAAAUAACUGGUGUUUCAAUAACUACCUCAAAAAUGGAGUUCAGAUUUCAUGGCUGUGUUCUAUCACACAUAAAACCAGGAAGAGUUGAUGGGUAAUAGGUUGGACCACGAUUCAUUUCUGGAAAGCUCCAGUUACAUUUGCUAUUGCUUUAAAAAGUCAUGCUUGGAAAGUUGCCUGGUAACCUGAUUUAUCUUGAAUAUUAAUAAUUCACCCAUCAGGAAACUACCUUGCCUGUAACUCAGUGUCAAAAUUGAACACCUCUUUGACUAUGUGGUCUGCAAGGUAAUGGUGGUGGGGUUGGAAGCAAAUUAGUUAAAUUUGGUUACAGAAUGAAUCUGAUAAUGUGUUUAUCCAACUUGGGAAGAAUUUAGAUGUUGUUAAAGGAUAUAAAGUAUAUAAUCUUAAAGAAUUGAAAUGGGGAUUUCUUUUUAAGUUCUACAUAAUUGUUGCUUGAUAAACUCAGAUGACGUCUCACACUGAAAGUUCACUAACCACAUAAUUAAUAGGGACAUGUAUUAUUGAUGUACUAAGACUACUUAAUAGCACUUCGGUUCCAUUUACAGAAGGAUAAAAUAGUCACCAGGCGUGAGAUCAAUAAAUCACAAGUUUUGAGUGUUAUAUUUACAACCUGAGAGUCAAGUAACUCUUCAUCAUUGAACAGUCUCCCACUUGGAACUAUGACUGACCUGUUUCAGGUUUGUUGAGUGCCCUUGUGAAAAAAUUCUAAGCUAUGGAAACCAUUAUUUUCCCCCUGUGAAAUUUCCCCAUAGUACUCAAUUGGGCCUCCUUCCCUAUGUGGACGCUUUGAGACAUCACAGAGGCAAGCAGUACCAAAGAUCAUGAAAGAUUUGGUAGUUACACACACACCUUGGUUCGCAUCCAGCAACUGUCUCCCAAAUUCAGCUGGGUCUGACAUAGCAGCUGAGCUUCCUGCUCAAUUUGGCCCCAACUCUGCCCAGACAGAGGACUUCUCUGUUUCCACUAGAACGAGCCAGGAACAAAAACUCCAUCCAUCUAAAAAUGCUUGAAAUAAUUCUAGUGUUGGGGAAGACAAAGAGAAAAUAACCAUGUGGUUUCACUGUAAGGAUUUAGGUAUAAGGAAGGGAAAUGGUGUCAGUCAGGGAUUACAUCCUCAUAUGCCACUUGAGGAACCAAAUACCUCCUAAGAAACAACCCACAUCCGACCCUAAACCCUCAGAUGCCAGGAAUCAUUAAGAGCAUUCACCACAGGAGAAAAUUUCUCUGUUAAACUAAAGAUAAACCACUGUGCCCCAAUUCCCAGAUGAUGGAAAUGGGGCUUUAAAUGAUAUAAUGAGUCACAUUUGCAUUCUUUUUAGAAGAUAAACAGCCAAUUUAUUGUUUGCCUUGAAUGGCAUGCCUUUUACUAAUGUGAUUGGGGAGAUAAAAUAACCAGUGGUAACUGAUUAACUAUUUUAAGUCAUUGUGUUCAAAACGUGUGAUAUAUUAGUUCACUUAUCCAGAAGUGAUCUCAAUGAUUAGGAGUUGAGCCAAGGAAAUAAAGCAGCUAAGUGAAGGGUAAGCAACUGAAAUACUCACAAAUUGAACCCUCUCUCUUAUGCUCUGAACUCACAGAAGAGGGCCUUAGAGCACUCCCCAGUAUCUAUUUAUUUUAUUUAAGAUACAAUUCUAAUAGCAAAAUGGAAAUAGUUGUUGCAAAGAGAUAAAAAGGAUGCUGUCCAAGUCAGGCAACUGAAAGUGGCAAGAAAUGACAGAACUGACAAUGAUAAAAGAAAUGGAUAAAUCAAAAUGGCAGGAAAAAAAUUCGUGAACAUUUUCUCAGUGUGGGACCAUUCUGCGUAGAGUAAAAUAAAAAUAAUUAAGCAAAACACAGAUUUGGUGUUCAUAUUUCAUAACCCUCUAAUAUCAGAAAAUAUGCGAUCUGUGUUAGGAAGACAAUUGAUGUAUCUUAGAAAUAGUUCCAACAUAAAAGGUUAAGUUAUUUUAAAUUCAGUCAUCUUGAAAAUAAGUGCAAUGCUAACUCCUCAUGUUGUUCUUCAUGGAUUACAAGGAAGCAGUGGAGUAUCACAGUUAAAAGGAUGCAUAUGGUUCCCAACUGCCCAGAUUUCAAAUCCCAGCUAUGCCGUGUGUGACCUUGGACAACUCACUUAACGUCUCUGAAGCUCAAUUCCUCCACUGCAAAAUGGGUAGUGGUAAGGAUUUAAUGAGUUAAUGUAUAUAAGGCAUUGGAAGAGUACCUGGCACAUAGUAAGUGUUAGAUAAGCAUUCUCUACAAAGAUAUUUGCAUUUACCAAGUACCUAAUGUGUGUCAGGUACUGGGAAGGGUGCUGUGAUCUUUAUCAUUAUAUUUUAUAAGCUUUUACUACAUGAAGUGAAACACCAGAAUCUUGCCUUCAAUAUUCCUCAAGCCCAACGUAACCGGCAAUAAAGAGUUAUCAACCCUAGUACAACACAAUGUAAUCCAUUAUACCUAAAGUUCUUUUAACCUGAUUUCUGCCAUAGUAAUUAACUUUUGUUUCUUGAAACUUUAUGUCCAUUUUGGUUGGCUACUAUUCUAUCUCUCUGUGAAAUAUUCCCCUCUCUUCAUUUUGCAUGUAUAUUCAUCACCUCUUCUGUUCAGUUACUAUUUUAGACCUCAAGGAUCCAAUGAUCUGGGAACACAGUUCGUCUGAGGAUAGGCAUUACAAGGUAAACACAGUGUUGAUAAAAGUUCUGUGUCCCUGAUGGUGUCAAGAAGAAAUGUGCAAUCAUUUUCAGGUAAAAACAACAAAAAACAAACAAACAAAACUAAAACAACCAGGAAAUCUGCAUCUGCUUCCUGAAAUAUGUCCACAAAAAUCAAAUAGGUAUAGAUAUACUUUUGCCUUAAACAGAUAAAUUAAAUUUUUGAGUAUCAAAAAAUCAUUUUCAACAUCCACAAAAUACUGAAACAGUACUCUUUAAAACAGUCAAGGUAAUGACAAACAAGGAAAGACAGAGAAAAUGUCACAGACCAGAGAAGACACGGCAUGAUGACUGAAUGUAAGGGAGUGUCCUGAAUUGCAUCCUAGAACAGAUAAAGAUUAUUAGUAAAAAGCAGUUGAAAUUUGCACAAGGACUGGAGUUUAGUUAAUAGUAAUGUAUAAAUGUUAACCUCAUAAUUUUGAUGACUGUAAUGUGGUUAUGUACAAUGUUAGCACUGAGGAAACUAGGUUAGGGGUAUUCAAGAACUCUCUGUACUAUCUAUCUUUGCAACUUUUCCAGAAAUCUAAAGUGAUUCCAAAAUAAAAAGUGCAUUUAGAAAAGUAUUUUCAGAUCUUUGAGAGGCAGGAGAGUGGGAACAACAUGCACCUUAAUGUCAGAAGGUUGAGUUUGUGUUUUCCUUUCACCACCAUCCAACAAGAUGACUUAAUGCAAGUUGGUUGAGCCUCAGGAUUCACAUUCAUAAAAGGGGGGGAUACAAUUUCUACCUUAUACAGUGUUAUUGAAAAGAACAAAUAAAAAAUUCAUGAACCCAUACAAAAAGUAAUCAUAGGCACAACUAUUUUUCCAAACCCUGAUUUACAGCUUCAAUCUAACCUUAAAACUAUUUACUCAAUUGACACAUACAUUUUUCUUAUUUUACUUUUCGAAAAAGAUCAAUAAAUGAUCUGUGAUGCCUUCAAUAGAGAAAAAUUAAGAGUUGGAUAUCAGUCUCAGAGGGUUUACAUUUUCAAGAUGUUUUUCUUUCAAAAGUAACAUUGAGCUUGUUGAACUUGACAAAUCAGUGUUUUUUCGGAAAAUCUCCUGCACUGAUCUGGGGUGUCCCUGGGUGUGUAUGAAGACUUGGGCAAGAAAGAGCUCAAGAAAAAUUCAUGGAUUUGGUGUAUUACUUUAGGGUUGCGUGAUUCUGACUAACUUUAAGCCAAAACUAGGUAGAGGCAAAACGUUGCUGUGGAAGUUGUGAGAAAGUCCUUGGCAGAAAGAGCAGGCAGUGAGAGGAACAGGGGUGAAAUUAUCCUUUCAUUCUCUGGAAGGUAAUGCCAGUGAAGUGGUUAAGAGUAUAGGCUUUUGAUCCAGACCUUCUGGAUUUGAAGCCAAACUCUGACUCUUCCUUUUUAGAGCUUGGGCAGGUGACUUAAGCUCUGUGUCUUGUUUAAAGAUAAUUAAUAAGGACAUGAUCCUAUCUGUAUUUUGGAAAACUCCUCUGGAAGCAGGUGGAUGAUCGAUUAGAGCAACAUCAGACCCAACAAGGGCCGUGGUAGAGAAGCCAGCACAAUAGUAGAGAAGUGAUGAGGGCCUAAGCUGCACAGGGAGCCCUGAGCAUGGGGAGAAGGAGUCUAGAAAACCAUGAAGGAGAUGGGUAUCAAGAGAAAGUGGGGGAAUCAGGGAAAGAAAGGACUCUAGAUGGAUUCUUAGGCUCCUGGAGACUGGGAUUUUGUCCAUUAACCAAGAUGGAGAAUCAUGGAAGAGUAGGGAAAAGUCAUGCUUGUGAUUUGGGACAUACUACAUGUUUGUGUUUGGGGACAUUAAGAAGGAAAUGCCUAUCUGGGACAGGAACUUGUGUUUUAUCUCAUAUACCACUCUGAGUAAAUGGGAGCUUAAAGAGAGUUAAGUACAAGAUACGGGUUAAGAAUGCUGUUUCUUUGACUUACUAGCUGUAUGUUUAAAAAGGUCAAUUGUUUAACCUCUCUGCUGCUUUUUCUUUUGUUUUGUUUUGUUUGUUUUUUUUGUUUUAAGACAGAGUUUUGCUCUUGUUGCCCAGGCUGGAGUGUAAUGGCACGAUCUCAGCUCACUGCAACCUCCACCUCCCAAGUUCAAGCAAUUCUCCUGCCUCAGCCUCCAUAGGCAUCCACCACCACACCCGGCCAAUUUUGUAUUUCUAGUAGAGGCGGGGUUUCUCCAUGUUGGUCAAGCUGGUCUCGAACUCCCGACCUCAGGUGAUCCGUCUGCCUCAGCCUCCCAAAGUUUUGGGAUUACAGGCAUGAGCCACUGCACCUGGCCUACUUUGUUUGUAACAUGGGAAAAACAACAGGCUGGUCGUGGUGGCUCAUGCCUGUAACCCCAGCACUUUGGGAGGCCCAGGAGGGCGGAUCACUUGAGGCCAGGAGUUUGAGAUCAGCCUGGCCAACAUGGUGAAGCCCCAUCUCUACUAAAAAAUACAAAAAAAUAGCCAAGUGUGGUGGUGUGCACCUGUAGUCUCAGCUGCCAGGGAGGCUGAGGCACUAGAAUUGCUUGAACCCAGGAGGCAGAGGUUGCAGUGAGCCAAGAUCGUGCCACUGUACUCCAGAUUGGGCAACAGAGCCUCAAAAAAAAUAAAUAAAUAAAAAUAAAUGGGAACAACAAUAGCCAUCUUUUAGAGUUGCUGUCAGAAUUAAAGGAGAUAAUCAUACAAAGAACUAGCCCUUUCCAACUCACUGUAAAUCCUCAAUCCAUGUUAGCUUUUUGUAACAUUAAUAACAUAGCAAUAAUAAUUUGUAGCUUGAAUAAUAGUAAGUUGCCUAAAGAGAUGUAGCUAAGGAAGUCUGAGUUAGCCUUUGGACUCUGAACUGCCUCUGCAUUUAGCAUACUGAUAUGCAGAGCAAGCUGUAUCCACACUGAUCUCAGUGUGCUACAGUUUCAAAAGCUGUUCAGCUGGGAUCAAGGAAAGCAAUGACCGCCUACUCCCCAAAUCCUUUCCAUUUCGAAAUUCCCAGGUCAAUGACAACCAUUGCCAGAGGGUCUCAGGAAGGUGGAAUCCACAUGGAGAGUUGGAAAAGGGAGGCCGAGGUGGGCAGAUCACCUGAAGUCAGGAGUUCAAGACCAGCCUGGCCACCAUGGUGAAACCUCGUCUCUACUAAAAAAUACAAAAAUUAGCUGGGUGUUGCAGUGGGUACCUGUAAUUCCAGCUACUUAGGAGGCUGAGGCAGGGAGAACUGCUUGAACCCAGAAAGCGGAGGUUGCAGUGAGCUGUGAUUGUGCCACUACACUCCAGCCUGCAACCCUGUCACAAAAAAAAAAAAAAAAAGAGAGAGAGAGAAAAAAAGAAAAAUGAGUGGGAACUGAGGAAGUCUAAAUAAAAUUCUAAACAGCAAGUAUAAACCUUUGUUUUUUCAAUGAAGAGGAAUCACUAGAGUGGACACAGGAGGAUGGUGGAAAUUGAAGACAGGCAAGAAUAGAACACAUUUAUUGACGGAGAGGAGGGAGCUAGCAGAAAGUAUGGUUAACAGAGAGAGAAAAUAAGUGAAGACCCCAGUCCUUAAGGAAGGACUGUGAGGAUGGGGCAAGAGGAGGGAAGGAAAAGCGUCACCUCUUCCACUGAGGGCUGGAAAGGAGGUGGAGACAAGUGCAUAGGCAUUUGCGUGUCUGAGCAGGGCUUUGAAGAGGGUAAAUGUCUAAAAGCCUCUAGCAUCUCAGAAAAGUUGAAGAUGAGGUUAUAUGCUACACUGGAGAGGAGUAGAGACAAGACUGGAAAAUUUGAGUGCAUGGCUUCAGGUCUGAAAUAAACAUUGGAAGGCGACAGAGAGGAAGUUGAACCAGUCUGUGUAGAAGGAUGUGAGCACUGGGAUUUCAAAGACGAGGUUUGUAGAGGCCCCAGUCUGCAUCUUUAUAUGAUUUCCUCCAGCAUUUUUGUAACAUUACAUUGCAUUUUGUAACAUUGCUGAGCCCCUCUUUGAGUAAUUGGCAGAAAAGGCUGAGUCCUCAUAGAAUUGUGUGCUAUUUCUAAAACAUAUCCAUGGUUUAAAAAGCUUUAAGAUCUAUAAACUAAAAUCCACCCAUUUUGCAGGAUGAUUCACAGUGUCGACAGUUUGGAGCAAUUUCCUGAAGAAAGGACAAAACUGGAAGCUAUUCUUUAUGAGAGAAGAGAAUUCCAACCAGUGUGAUGAGAAUUGCACAAAUCCUGCAGCCCAUCUCUGCCACAGCUCAAAAUUGUUGGGUAAGCAAUGACCCAGACCAUUGAAGAAAAUGAAGAAACUGUGCACACAGACUGAUGUCUUAUGUGACCAACAUGCAUAGAAGAAAUGGAAGCUUCCCCCUAUCUUUCCAGAGUUCAAAAAUCCUAUUGCUGAAUUCACCUCCAAUUCCCUGAAACAAUAUAGAAGAUCCUCCAUAAAGACCCCAGGUUAUAAUGUUUACAAUUUAUUUUGUACUCCUUUUCUCUGGUAAUUGAUGACUGCUAUUAUUAAUGAAGACGUUACAAGGAAUAAAAGGGCUUGCCUGCCACUUCUCACCACAAAACCGUGUGGCAUCAAACAGAAUGAAAUCCUUCUGACACUGACAGCUGGAGAAAACCUUGUCACCACAGUGACAGUGUCAAGUGUGGUGUGACAUCUCUGUGUGUGUUUCCUUUGCACCUAAUAACUUCGUUGCCAAUACAGACCAAAAUAAUGAAAGAAAACCUGCUUUUGCCAGCCCAAAGGAUUAACUGUACUGUUGAGAAAACUGCAGGAAUAUUUGACAUGAGAUCACAAUUUUUAAUUCUUUUCCCCCCAGGAUUCUGCAUGAAGUAUUUUUCUAUGAAGGAUUUAAAUAGAAUUACUUUUCCUCACAUUGGUCAUGGAGAGAAUUAAGACAUUAACUGUUGAUCCAAUUUAUACUGCCAUUUGAUCCCAUAAGUGCUAUACAGGACUCGGUUACUCAUGGAAAAUAUUUCCUGCCAGAUCAAACACUCUCAGGGCCAAAGUCACAAGAUUCUGACUUUACAUGCUCUGUUCUGCCUCCUUUCAUUUUGCCUCUUGGAUUGUCAUGAACUUCCUGAGCAAGAAGGCCAUCCACCAUGCAGUGUAAUGUCUUGCUAAGAGAAAUUAGUAUUCAGUCUGCUCAGGUUCCAGCAAGGACUUUCUUCAUGAAGAUCUUCAAGUGGAAUCAAGCAUAAAACGCUGGAGGAGAAGUCAGUAGCAAGCAGCUAAGACAACAUGGUACAUUUGCUACCAACGCAGCUGAAAUUGAGCAAUCCACUCUCACGAGUGAAUAUACAAGUCUCCAGCAUCCAUCCCAUUGCUCUUGGGUUAGUGUGGUGGAGAGGAGAAAAUAACAACAACAACAAAAAAGGUUGAUGACAUCUUGCAAUUGCUAUUGUCCAGGAGUCAGUCAUGACACUGUUCGCAUUGCCUGAUCUUGUGUGCACUUGGUGGCUUUUCAGAUUUCAUGACUGGACAGCUGUCAUCAUUGGACAUUUAACUCCUCAGACCAUUUAAUAACUAUUCAUGGAAGAAAUAUGAAUCCUCACUGUUGUCUGAAAAUGUUGGAAUCAUCUAAUGAGGUCAAGAAAGCAUCAGAAAUAAAAUUUAAGCAGCUGGCAAAAAAUACUUAGAGACAAUAAAGGAGCUUCCAUCCACAGCACCCUAACUACCCAGGAACCUGCAUUUGCAACUCUCCAGACAGCACAGAGGAUGAAAAACUAUGCAAAAUGAAAAUCUGAGUUUAAGAGUAACCCAGAAAUAUUGGACUCUAAAUGUGAGAAAUCAUGUAACCAUUUUAUUUCAACUAUAUUUCCCUUAAAGUAUGUAUAAGAGUAAUGUGUAAAUGCUAUAUCUCAAAUGUCAAUGAGUUAUUUUAGUAGGUAGAAAAUAUACAGUUUAAGUAAUAGGAAUGCAUCCAUGAGAUAUCAGCAAGAUACCAGAAUAGGAAGCACAGAUACCUUUUUCUCCAUGAACAUACUGAUUCAACAGUAAUAUUCAGAACAAUUUCAUUUGUGAGAAAUACAGAAGCUAACUGAGAGAUUGCUAUACAUCAGGAAAGUACAAAACCAGAUACAUAAAAACCAGUAAGAUAAUUGGAGACAUCCUCUUGCCAUUCUCCUCCUCAGUAUUAUACCAUACAAUUGGGAAAAACUAGCAGUUUAAACUGGCAUGUGAACACUUGACACAGCUCUUCCCUCUGGCUUAACACAGAGCGAAUGUGUGAGAGAAAAAGAAAAAAACAAAAAAUGUGGCAAUUCCUCAAGGACCUAGAACGAGAAAUGCCAUUUGAUCCAGCAAUCCCUUUACUGGGUAUAUACCCAAAGGAAUAUAAAUCAUUCUAUUAUAAAGAUACAUGCACAUGUAUGUUUAUUGCAGCAUUAUUCACAAUAGCAAAAUCAUGGAACCAACCCAAAUACCCAUCAAUGAUAGACUGUAUAAAGAAAAUGUGGUACAUAUACACCAUGAAAUACUAUGCAGCCAUAAAAAGGAAGGAGAUAAUGUCCUUUGCAGGGACAUGUAUGAAGCUGAAAGCCAUUAUCCUCAGCAAACUAACACAGGAACAGAAAAUCAAACACUGCAUGUUCUCACAAGUAGGAGCCGAACACUGAGAAGACAUAAACACAAAGCGGGGAACAAUACACACUGGGGCCUGUCAUGGGGGCAGAAGGAGGGAGAGCAUCAGGACAAAUAGCUAAUGCAUGUGGGACUUAAUACCUAGGUGAUGGGUUGAUAGGUGCAGCAAACCACCAUUGCACAUGUUUACCUAUGUAACAAACCUGUACAUUCUGCACAUGUAUCCUGGAACUUAAGUAAAAUAAAAUUUUUUAAAAAUG